rnacentral:tRNA from 1 species
UGCCUUGUGGUGAAAUGGUAGACACGCGAGACUCAAAUCUGCUAAGAGCGUGGAGGUUCGAGUCCCUUCAAGGCAU